GACGAACGCUGGCGGCGUGCUUAACACAUGCAAGUCGAGCGGUAAGGCCCUUCGGGGUACACGAGCGGCGAACGGGUGAGUAACACGUGGGUAACCUGCCCUGUACUCUGGGAUAAGCCCGGGAAACUGGGUCUAAUACCGGAUAUGACCUUCUGUCGCAUGAUGGAGGGUGGAAAGUUCCGGCGGUAUGGGAUGGACCCGCGGCCUAUCAGCUUGUUGGUGGGGUAAUGGCCUACCAAGGCGACGACGGGGUAGCCGGCCUGAGAGGGUGAUCGGCCCACACUGGGACUGAGACACGGCCCAGACUCCUACGGGAGGCAGCAGUGGGGAAUAUUNCACAAUGGGCGAAAGCCUGAUGCAGCGACGCCGCGUGAGGGAUGACGGCCUCGGUUGUAAAGCCUCUUCAGCAGGGACGAAGCGCAAGUGACGGUACCUGCAGAAGAAGCACCGGCUAACUACGUGCC
rnacentral:rRNA from 1 species